rnacentral:rRNA from 1 species
UGCCAGCAGCCGCGGUAAUACGGAGGGUGCGAGCGUUAAUCGGAAUUACUGGGCGUAAAGCGUGCGUAGGCGGUUACUUAAGUCAGAUGUGAAAUCCCGGGGCUCAACCUCGGAACUGCAUUUGAAACUGGGUGACUAGAGUUUUGUAGAGGGUGGUGGAAUUUCCAGUGUAGCGGUGAAAUGCGUAGAGAUUGGAAGGAACAUCAGUGGCGAAGGCGGCCACCUGGACAAAAACUGACGCUGAGGCACGAAAGCGUGGGGAGCAAACAGGAUUAGAUA